GCCCGGGUGGCGAAACUGGUAGACGCAUCGGACUUAAAAUCCGCCGGGGGCGACCCCAUGCCGGUUCGAUUCCGGCCCCGGGCACCA
rnacentral:tRNA from 4 species